GACGAACGCUGGCGGCGUGCUUAACACAUGCAAGUCGAACGCAAAGGCCCUGCUUUUGUGGGGUGCUCGAGUGGCGAACGGGUGAGUAACACGUGAGUAACCUGCCCUUGACUUUGGGAUAACUUCAGGAAACUGGGGCUAAUACCGGAUAGGAGCUCCUGCUGCAUGGUGGGGGUUGGAAAGUUUCGGCGGUUGGGGAUGGACUCGCGGCUUAUCAGCUUGUUGGUGGGGUAGUGGCUUACCAAGGCUUUGACGGGUAGCCGGCCUGAGAGGGUGACCGGCCACAUUGGGACUGAGAUACGGCCCAGACUCCUACGGGAGGCAGCAGUGGGGAAUAUUGCACAAUGGGCGGAAGCCUGAUGCAGCAACGCCGCGUGCGGGAUGACGGCCUUCGGGUUGUAAACCGCUUUCGCCUGUGACGAAGCGUGAGUGACGGUAAUGGGUAAAGAAGCACCGGCUAACUACGUG
rnacentral:rRNA from 1 species